AUGUGCGGUGGUUAUGGGCAGACUAGAGUGCAGUAGGGGAGACUGGAAUUCCUGGUGUAGCGGUGGAAUGCGCAGAUAUCAGGAGGAACACCGAUGGCGAAGGCAGGUCUCUGGGCUGUAACUGACGCUGAGGAGCGAAAGCAUGGGGAGCGAACAGGAUUAGAUACCCUGGUAGUCCAUGCCGUAAACGUUGGGCACUAGGUGUGGGGACCAUUCCACGGUUUCCGUGCCGCAGCUAACGCAUUAAGUGCCCCGCCUGGGGAGUACGGCCGCAAGGCUAAAACUCAAAGGAAUUGACGGGGGCCCGCACAAGCGGCGGAGCAUGCGGAUUAAUUCGAUGCAACGCGAAGAACCUUACCAAGGCUUGACAUGUUCUCGAUCGCCGUAGAGAUACGGUUUCCCCUUUGGGGCGGGUUCACAGGUGGUGCAUGGUUGUCGUCAGCUCGUGUCGUGAGAUGUUGGGUUAAGUCCCGCAACGAGCGCAACCCUCGUUCCAUCUUUCCAACANGU
rnacentral:rRNA from 1 species